GGGGCUGUAGCGCAGAGGGAAGCGCGUCUCCUUGGCAUGGAGGAGGUCGGGGGUUCGAUUCCCCCCAGCUCCA
rnacentral:tRNA from 1 species